rnacentral:rRNA from 1 species
UACGAAGGGUGCAAACGUUGCUCGGAAUCAUUGGGCGUAAAGCGCACGUAGGCGGCUCGUUAAGUCGGAUGUGAAAGCCCUGGGCUCAACCCAGGAAGUGCAUACGAAACUGGCGAGCUUGAGUAUGGAAGAGGGUCGCGGAAUUCCCGGUGUAGAGGUGAAAUUCGUAGAUAUCGGGAGGAACACCAGUGGCGAAGGCGGCGACCUGGGCCAAUACUGACGCUGAGGUGCGAAAGCGUGGGGAGCAAACAGG